rnacentral:rRNA from 1 species
UACGGAGGAUCCAAGCGUUUGUCCGGAUUUAUUGGGUUUAAAGGGUGCGUAGGCGGAUAAUUAAGUCAGUGGUGAAAUCUUGCGGCUCAACCGUAAAAUUGCCAUUGAAACUGAUUAUCUUGAGUACAGUUGAGGUGGGCGGAAUGUAUCAUGUAGCGGUGAAAUGCUUAGAUAUGAUACAGAACACCUAUUGCGAAAGCAGCUCACUAAACUGCAAACUGACGCUGAGGCACGAAAGCGUGGGGGAUCAAACAGG